CCUACGGGAGGCAGCAGUGAGGAAUAUUGGUCAAUGGGCGCGAGCCUGAACCAGCCAAGUAGCGUGAAGGAUGACUGCCCUACGGGUUGUAAACUUCUUUUAUAAAGGAAUAAAGUGAGGCACGUGUGCCUUUUUGUAUGUACUUUAUGAAUAAGCACCGGCUAACUCCGUGCCAGCAGCCGCGGUAAUACGGAGGGUGCAAGCGUUACUCGGAUUUAUUGGGUUUAAAGGGUGCGUAGGCGGAUUUUUAAGUCAGCGGUAAAAUGUCCGGGCUCAACCCGGGCCGGCCGUUGAAACUGGGGAUC
rnacentral:rRNA from 1 species